CAGCCGCCACGGAAUACGGAGGGUGCAAGCGUUAAUCGGAAUUACUGGGCGUAAAGCGCACGCAGGCGGUCUGACAAGUCAGAUGUGAAAUCCCCGGGCUUAACCUGGGAACUGCAUUUGAAACUGUCAGGCUGGAGUCUUGUAGAGGGGGGUGGAAUUCCAGGUGUAGCGGUGAAAUGCGUAGAGAUCUGGAGGAAUACCGGUGGCGAAGGCGGCCCCCUGGACAAAGACUGACGCUCAGGUGCGAAAGCGUGGGGAGCAAACAGGAUUAGAUACCCGGGUAGUCCCUGUCUCUUAUACA
rnacentral:rRNA from 1 species